CAGCAGCCGCGGGAAAACGAUGGGGGCAAGCGUUGUUCGGAAUUAUUGGGCGUAAAGGGUGCGUAGGCGGUUUGAUAAGUCUGGUGUGAAAUCUAUGGGCUCAACCCAUAGUCUGCACUAGAAACUGUCGGGCUUGAGUAUGGGAGAGGUGAGUGGAAUUUCCGGUGUAGCGGCGAAAUGCGUAGAUAUCGGAAGGAACACCUGUGGCGAAAGCGGCUCACUGGACCAUUACUGACGCUGAUGCACGAAAGCUAGGGGAGCAAACAGGAUUAGAUACCCGCGUAGUCCCUGUCUCUUAUAC
rnacentral:rRNA from 1 species